rnacentral:lncRNA from 1 species
UCUGAAUUACGACAUCCAGAAGAAGGGGUCUCCCUUUGUCUCAGGUAACAGCACUGCCAGCUUGGGGCUCCUGUUUUCCUGCGUUUGACCCCUACUCCUGCCCCCCUGUUUCUGCUCAGCUUGCUCUUUGAUGACUCCUGCCUUGACCCGUUCUCUUCCUGGCAUGCACAUGCUCUGGCCCAGCAGGUACGGUGCCCAUACCUACUUCGGGCCCCGUGCUCGCUUCUCUUGCUCUGCUUGCUGCCAGCCUCCUCUGUCUUUGCCUCUGUUCCUGGGGUGGAUGAAGAUUGCUGGGUGAAGGGGACAUGUUAACAUGUCUGGGCAAGGGCAGGCAGGGACAUCCUGUUCUGAAGCCUACUUCUUCAAGAUGUGUCUUUGUGUCUUUAGCUGGAGCAGUUCAGCAUGGAGACCCCAUCAACCAAUCUGGUGCUGGAUCCCCCUGGCUUUUCUGAAGGGCCUGGAUUUUUAGGGGAUGAGGGGUCAGUGAGUGGCCCCCAGGACCCUCACACCCUCAACCACCAGAACUUGACCCACUGUUCCCGCCAUGGCUCAGGACCUAACAUUGUCCUCACAGGUGAGUGGGCAUGGGUGGUGAUGGCAGUGAAAGGAAGGGAGUGGGGCCGUGGUUGGGGCUCAGCCGCAGCACACUUGCCUGGCAUGUGUGAGGCACUGGGUUCGAUUCUUAGCAUCACAUAUAAAUAAAUAAAAUAAAGGUCAUCAACAACUAAAAAAAUAUUAAAAAAAAAAAUAAAAGGGAAGGAGUGAUACCUUUGCCAACAUAAGAAAUGGAGGAGUCUUGGGGGAGUUCAUGAGGUAUGCGGUCCUUACUUAUCUCUUACCCACAGGAGACUCCUCCCCAGGAUUCUCCAAGGAAAUCGCAGCGGCCCUGGCUGGAGUGCCUGGCUUUGAGGUGUCAGCAACUGGAUUGGAGCUGGGGCUUGGGUUGGAGGAUGAGCUGCGCAUGGAGCCACUGGGCCUGGAAGGGCUAAACAUGCUGAGUGACCCCUGUGCCCUGCUGCCCGAUCCUGCUGUAGAGGAUUCAUUCCGCAGUGACCGGCUACAGUGAGGGAACCUUGCCACCAUCCUUCUCGGCCCCAUCUCCCGUCACUGUCCCUUUCCUCCCUUUCCCCUGGCCAGUAACGACUCCACUCUCUGCCCCCGUGUUCUCUUUCUAACAUGAACAAAGGAUCCUAAGAAUGAGAAAAAGCAAGGGGUUUGUCCAGGUGGCCCCUGAAUUCUGCACAAUGGGUAGGCCUGGGGGAGCCCAAGGGAGGGCCUAAAGCACUUGUAACUUUGAAAAACGUCUGUCUGGAGGUCAGAGCCUGUUGGAAAGCAGGGGUAGAGGGGAACCCCAGAGGCAGGGCUUACCCAGAUGCCUAGGGGUGGGCAGUGCCAGCCCCUCCUCACUACUCUUCUCCUUGCAAUGGAGGAAAAGAGCCAGAGUGGAUAUUAUUUUUUAUUAAAUAUAUUAUAUGUUAAUAAAAAAAUCCUGUCAAACCCUUGGUGUGG